GCGGGUGUGGUGUAUGGUACACCGCUGCCCUUCCUGGUCUCGCUGCUUGCAGAGUUGAAAGUUGUAGCAGCAGAACCGGGUUCGAUUCCCGGCAUCCGCA